rnacentral:rRNA from 1 species
GACGAACGCUGGCGGCGUGCCUAAUACAUGCAAGUUGAGCGCUGAAGGUUGGUACUUGUACCGACUGGAUGAGCAGCGAACGGGUGAGUAACGCGUGGGGAAUCUGCCUUUGAGCGGGGGACAACAUUUGGAAACGAAUGCUAAUACCGCAUAAAAACUUUAAACACAAGUUUUAAGUUUGAAAGAUGCAAUUGCAUCACUCAAAGAUGAUCCCGCGUUGUAUUAGCUAGUUGGUGAGGUAAAGGCUCACCAAGGCGAUGAUACAUAGCCGACCUGAGAGGGUGAUUGGCCACAUUGGGACUGAGACACGGCCCAAACUCCUACGGGAGGCAGCAGGAGGGAAUCUUCGGCAAUGGACGAAAGUCUGACCGAGCAACGCCGCGUGAGUGAAGAAGGUUUUCGGAUCGUAAAACUCUGUUGGUAGAGAAGAACGUUGGUGAGAGUGGAAAGCUCAUCAAGUGACGGUAACUACCCAGAAAGGGACGGCUAACUACGUG